GGGGCUAUAGCUCAGUGGUAGAGCGCACGCCUGAUAAGCGUGAGGUCGUAGGUUCGAUUCCUCCUAGCCCCACCA
rnacentral:tRNA from 1 species